UUGCUCUUUCCGGAAUUGAGUGGCAAACGGGUGAGUAACACGUAAACAACCUGCCUUCAGGAUGGGGACAACAGACGGAAACGACUGCUAAUACCGAAUAAGUUCCAAGAGCCGCAUGGUACAGCAAGAAAAGGAGCAAUCCGCUAAUAGAUGAGCUUGCGGCUGAUUAGCUAGUUGGUGUGGUAACGGCAUACCAAGGCAACGAUCAGUAGCCGGGCUGAGAGGCUCUUCGGCCACAUUGGGACUGAGAUACGGCCCAGACUCC
rnacentral:rRNA from 1 species